rnacentral:misc_RNA from 1 species
AAAUGCGAUAAUUAAUGUGAAUUGCAGAAUUCAGUGAAUCAUCGAGUCAUUGAACGCACAUUGCGCCCCCUGGUAUUCCGGGGGGCAUGCCUGUCCGAGCGUCAUUGCUGCCCUCAAGCACGGCUUGUGUGUUGGGCUUCCGUCCCUGGCAACGGGGACGGGCCCAAAAGGCAGUGGCGGCACCAUGUCUGGUCCUCGAGCGUAUGGGGCUUUGUCACCCGCUCCCGUAGGUCCAGCUGGCAGCUAGCCUCGCAACCAAUCUUUUUAACCAGGUUGACCUCGGAUCAGGUAGGGAUACCCGCUGAACUUAAGC